GUUCCUCACAUACAGAAUAAAACAAGCACAAACAUUCGAGAGACUGAGUAUCCACCACGGCCUCAGCGUUGCAUGCAUGCGAAGGAAGCUUUGAGCAGUGAAAAGGGCAGAAAAGGAUGUGACGAUGGAGAUGGAGAAUAUGCGGAAGACGUCGAAAUGGACAAGGAAAUGUGGGCUGUUUUGAAAGUCUUGGACUGUGGUGUGAGAAUCUGGUCCACUUUUGGGUCUGGAAGUAGCGGAGUGGCAGACUUGGACCGCUAUUGCUUGAUGAUCAAGUGGGGACUUGUGAAAUCUCUGACUGGUUGAACUGUAGAGCCCUAGCAUAUGCUGGGACGGUGUCUGAGUCCUGAGUGUUUGCGGUUCGUUCCUGGCGAUGGUUUCUUCCAUGUGCGAUAGACAUAUUAAUCUGGAAAGCUCCAGGAGGAGUGUGUUACCGUUCCGAUGUGGACCAGAUCACACAGGGGUGCAGUUGCUCGAAAGAUGCGGGAAUAGUUUUUGAUCACAGCUCCUUUUUGCCCCCCGUCGAAGUGAAAUGAUGCAUGUAGAGAUCAUAGCCACGUCGUAGAGCAUGGUUGCAAAACUACCUAGAGCAACGAAAGCAUCAUUGACUUGAGCCCUAGGAGUGGAACACUCUGAAAUUUCCAGUUGACCUGCAACUAGUACGUCAAGUAUCCCAAUCUGCAGCACAAAUUCCAGCUUGUAGGACCAGUGCUUGCAGGAUCUAUGCUUGCAGAUGCUGACAUUGUUGUCCGCCUCUCUGGAGCAAUGUUUAAAGCUGUGAGAAUUUCCUGCGGUAGGGAGCCUCCAAAUCAACACACAGUGACGGCUCCUAGGGCCAGCAACAGGUUUAAGAAUCAAUCCCUUCCAUGCACCAAGCUUGACACUGGACGAAAGCAGAAAGGCCAAGCAUGCUAAAAUCUUGACCCGGCGAAUCGCGGAAGCAGGAACAAAACGGGCGUAUCGGACAAAAUAUAAAAUAUAUGUGUGUACUGAAGAUGGGCCAGGGAAACCGGCUGAAUAUCGGGAGGCAUGAAACAACAGAUAGGGCUCCGAUGGAUACACCGCCACAUGCGACUGUUAAUUUACUUCAGACAGACAGAAAUCCAAGUUCAUGACCGAAGCUGAAGAGACUGAUGGUGAAAUAUAGCGAUGGCUUCUGCCCAGCACCCAGAGUCAGGCAUUGGAUCUGCGUGGCUCCGCCCAUUGCAGUCUUUGCAGGUACAACACCUGUGGUGGCCUGGCAGACCUCCAAAUUUGUACUCAUCCGACGGAGGAGCUUGUUUCCCCGUUGAGCAGGAAUUAUCAGAUUCAACAUCCUACAACUCCCUCUUUU